CCGGUUUCCUGCGUUGCGUACCUACACGAAGGCAUUCGUUGUUGUCCCAGCGACCCUCGUUCGUUUAGAGCUCCCCUCUUUGGCGGGGCACAAGGCGAAAGUUGCGGCUUGGUCCGUUACCCACGUCGCUUACUGCUGUCGUGGUGAACGGGGCUUUGCUUAAGCUCUCGGAUACGGAAAGCAUUGAGGGCAUUGACAUGUCAUCCUUGCCCGAGCAUGCAUUAGAUCGGACCCUAGGAACAACGGUGCACGACUGUAGCUCCCGCCUCGGUUCGGCCGUGCGGGCAGUCACGUCGUUGAGGAAUGCUACCUGGUUGA
rnacentral:misc_RNA from 1 species